rnacentral:rRNA from 1 species
UAAUGUGCGUCGGACGGGGAGGGUCUGCGAGAGACGGGAGCGAGGGGAAGGUAGGAGCAGAAGGGGCGGCGGCGGGUCUAGGCCGCAGGGACCGGGGCCGCCGGGCGUCGAGCGCCGUCCGGCGGGCCAGCCAGAGAGGAGUGAUAGCUCCGAGCCGGGCCGGGGCGACCCGUCGAGGAGGGGCUGCGGGAGGACGUCCUUCGUUUCGGGAGGCUGCAGAGUUGUCAACAGGUGAGCACGUUUGAUCGUCAAAGAAAAUGGUGGUCUUUCCUUUUCCCUCUGUGCCUAGUGCUACCGCAACGCCGUCCGCGACCCUACCAGUCUGCCCCUCCACUACGCCGGCCUCAGGUUCGGGACGAGGGCGGACUACGCAGUGUGGCGCCCGUAGAAGAGACACCCACCGCGGGAGCGAAGGACCCAAGAGACAGCGGAAGUGAUACCAGGCUCCUAUUGCCAGGGCUCCUCGCACUCCACCCGCAGGACACCUCGCUAGACGCACUCGAGCCGCAGCCGGAGCGACCACGCCGAGAACUCGGGCCUCACGCUCGGCGUCUUGUAUCGCCGAAUGCUGUCCGGGCUUGUGUUCGGACGUAUCACCAUGUACAUAGAACCUCCGCUCCAAGAACUACUAGAUAGGGUCCUCUACCUCUGUGUAAAUAGACGGUAACAGCACACUCUCUCCAAGUAAAUGCGUAUUGGAUCGACGGGUCCUCAAGUUAUUACACAGUAAAAAGGACUGGCAACGACGUCUCAAAAAAGAAGAAGACUUUCACGGCAUAAGUCAUUGAGACCAGAGUUCGUCUCACGAGCGAGAACGAGACAACCUUCACUAAAGAGUUGAGGUGUCAGAUUGACUUUCUCUUUGGAUCAACCCGUUUCCGUCAGACCGCGGUGGCGGAUGACCGGCUGGCUGCAAGCAACGCCGCCGUGUCGUCGCAGCCUCAAUCACCGUAACUGCGCGCUUCUUCCCCGUGCUAGCUCCUUUUGCCCACCGAGCGACGACAAAACGAGUAAUGAUGACAUGAGCACUACCUAGCUGAGGUAGUGGAUGAUCGAGCAACAGCCACAAUUACGUACCGUUGGCGACUAAUUACUCAUACGAGAAGUUAAUUAGGGACGGCAUGUACGACCAGAUCAUCCCGUGAGGCGUUUACUAAGAAGAGGGGUGACAAGAC